rnacentral:rRNA from 1 species
GAUGAACGCUGGCGGCGUGCUUAACACAUGCAAGUCGAACGGAAAGGCUCCUGCUUGCAGGGGUACUCGAGUGGCGAACGGGUGAGUAACACGUGGGUGAUCUGCCCUGCACUUCGGGAUAAGCCUGGGAAACUGGGUCUAAUACCGGAUAGGACGAUGGUUUGGAUGCCAUUGUGGAAAGUUUUUCGGUGUGGGAUGAGCUCGCGGCCUAUCAGCUUGUUGGUGGGGUAUGGCCUACCAAGGCGUCGACGGGGAGCCGGCCGGGGGGGGUGCACGGCCACGUUGGGACUGAGAGACGGCCCAGGCCCCCCCGGGGGGGAGGGGGGGGGAAUUUUGCACAAGGGGGGCAAGCCUGAUGCAGCGGCCCCGGGGGGGGGAGGCCGGCCUUCGGUUUGUAAACCCCUUUCGCUGGGGACGAAGGGCAAGUGAGGGUCCCUGGAGAAGAAGCCCCGGCUACCUACGU